rnacentral:lncRNA from 1 species
AUGAGCCAAUACUCAAAUCUCAUGAACCAAUACCCAAAUCUCAUGAACCUUUUUUUUUACUCUAGCACACAUACCUAGAGUAAAAAAUUUAAACAUCGACCACCCUAAUACAUAUACUUAGGGCUAUGUCAAUCGCCUUGGCACAUAUAACUAAGGCGAAAUAUCUCCAAAUCGGCAGAGUUCUAAACCAUAUACUUAGAAUUCAGUCAAAUGAUAUCAACUUCAUUCGGACUCUAAUACAUAUACUUAGAGUUCAUCCGGCUAACCCUAACACAUAUACUUAGGGUCUAGUCAACCUUUUGCUCU